CCUACGGGAGGCAGCAGUGGGGAAUCUUAGACAAUGGGCGCAAGCCUGAUCUAGCCAUGCCGCGUGAGUGACGAAGGCCCUAGGGUCGUAAAGCUCUUUCGCCAGGGAUGAUAAUGACAGUACCUG
rnacentral:rRNA from 1 species